GAUGAAGAACGCAGCGAAAUGCGAUACGUAAUGUGAAUUGCAGAAUUCAGUGAAUCAUCGAGUCUUUGAACGCACAUUGCGCCCCUUGGUAUUCCAUGGGGCAUGCCUGUUCGAGCGUCAUUUGUACCUUCAAGCUUUGCUUGGUGUUGGGUGUUUGUCUCGCCUUUGCGUGUAGACUCGCCUUAAAAUAAUUGGCAGCCGGCGUAUCGAUUUCGGAGCGCAGUACAUCUCGCGCUUUGCACUCAUAACGACAGCGUCCAAAAGUACAUUUUACACUCUUGACCUCGGAUCAGGUAGGGAUACCCGCUGAACUUAAGCAUAUCAAUAAGCGGAGGA
rnacentral:misc_RNA from 1 species